rnacentral:rRNA from 1 species
CUUAGUGGCGGACGGGUGAGUAACGCGUGGGGAACCUGCCCUGUACAGGGGGAUAACACUUAGAAAUAGGUGCUAAUACCGCAUAAGCGCACAGUAUCGCAUGAUACAGUGUGAAAAACUCCGGUGGUACAGGAUGGACCCGCGUCUGAUUAGCUGGUUGGCGGGGUAACGGCCCACCAAGGCGACGAUCAGUAGCCGGCCUGAGAGGGUGAACCGGCCACAUUGGGACUGAGACACGGCCCAAACUCCUACGGAAGGCAGCAG